ACGUUUGACCGGGUCAUAGAGGAGCGAGAGCAAAGAAACAGCAAGUGACGCGACCGUGCUCGACCUAAGGCAGAAGAGGAGAAACCGAGAGAAGGGGAGAGGUCGAGCAAGGAGGUGGUCGACCAUAGGAGAAGGGGCUCGAAGUUCACCGAAGGAGAGGGGAUUCAACGAUUUUGGGGGAAAUUGGUUCUUGGGCUCGCUGGUUUUUGGUAGACAGAGAGAACCGGCGGGGGCUAGAGGGGCUGGUUUUCGAGAGGGAGGGGAGAAGCUUGACGGGAGUGAAGAAGAACGAGAGAUAAAUCCGCGGGUGGAGGAGAAGAGAGACAGGAAGAGAGCAGUGAAGCGUUGAGCUUGAGCAAAACCCGCCUGGGUUCUUUCAAACGCCAUCUUCCAAUGGACUUAAAGGACCGCCGGAGGAAAAGGAGAGCCCCGGCCGUCCUGUCAAGCUUCUCUGCUAAAGAUGAAGCCCUUUCCGAUCAGUCGUCCUCAUCUAGCUGGAAGAACACCUCGUACCGUCGCCGGACAUCGUUGCUGACCGUGGCUGAACGGAGGUGCUCAUGCCGUAGGUUCGAUCCCUACACUGUAAGGGAAGUUGUUUCUUGUCCAUCGAAGCUUUGCCGGUGACCGUACGACCCCAAAAGCUCCACCACGAAUCAGGGGGAGGCACUUUCGGAUACAUACGAAAAGAAGUGACCACUUAUUCCAUAUAUGUAAAUCCAGGAGAAGUCAGAGAAAGGAAAAGUAAAAGAAAGGAUUUUUACAUCUUGACUUUUCUUCUCUGUGGAACGACUUUGUAGGUUCUUUCGGAAGAGAGCAGCCGCCCAAAGAAGACAGAAGGCAGCAGACUUUCUUGUUCAACAAAAUAUCUUGAUGGGCUAGAACUUAACCUUCCUUCUUAGCGAUCUCCCCGGAUCAUUGAGAUUUUGUUGUGCAUUACAACACUUACAAAAUCAAAGAAUUCCUGAAACACUCUUACAUC